rnacentral:rRNA from 1 species
UACGUAGGGGGCAAGCGUUGUCCGGAUUUAUUGGGCGUAAAGAGCGUGUAGGCGGUUAGGUAGGUCCGUUGUGAAAACUCGAGGCUCAACCUCGAGACGCCGAUGGAAACCAUCUAACUAGAGUCCGGAAGAGGAGAAUGGAAUUCCUGGUGUAGCGGUGAAAUGCGCAGAUAUCAGGAGGAACACCGAUGGCGAAGGCAGCUCGCUGGGACGGUACUGACGCUGAGACGCGAAAGCGUGGGGAGCGAACAGG